AAGAAAUAAACAAUGGGGUUAGUGUAAUCUUACCCUGGUAGCACCUCGCAUACUCUGCAUCAUCUGUUCGCUGGUUCUCAUCGUCUAUAAAAAGAUUAGCAUUAUGGUUAAACGAAAAAAUUUAAAAAAUCUCAUAUAGUGAAGAUUAUCAAUCAAAUGGACUUACUUGUAAUCUCAAAGAUAUAGCUUGUAGCUGCGUUUUUGCAUUCAUCAUUUUCUUACGGCUAUUCCUUAGUCUCAUCAAAUCCCGAGCUUGAAUACGGGCAGCACCAGUAUUUCCGGCUUUUGCACUACCUUUAAUUUCUUGAAUAAGCGCUCGCUCCCUUUGGUCCAAUUUCGUUCGUUCACGAUCCAAUUCCCGUUCAGCUCGACCAAGAGAUCUCUGAUGAGCCCUCAGCUGUUCUUGAGGGGACUUCCCCCCUCCA